rnacentral:rRNA from 1 species
CAGCCGCCGCGGUAAUACCAACCCCGCGAGUGGUCGGGACGUUUAUUGGGCCUAAAGCGUCCGUAGCCGGCCCGGUAAGUCCCUCCUUAAAGCCCACGGCUCAACCGUGGGAGCGGAGGGAUACUGCCGGGCUAGGGGGCGGGAGAGGCCGGGGGUACUCCUGGGGUAGGGGCGAAAUCCUAUAAUCCCAGGAGGACCACCAGUGGCGAAGGCGCCCGGCUAGCACGCGCCCGACGGUGAGGGACGAAAGCUGGGGGAGCAAAGGGGAUUAGAUACCCCCGUAGUCCCAGCUGUAAACGAUGCAGGCUAGAUGUUGGGCGGGCCUCGAGCCCGCCCAGUGUCGUAGGGAAGCCGUUAAGCCCGCCGCCUGGGGAGUACGGCCGCAAGGCUGAAACUUAAAGGAAUUGGCGGG